UACGUAGGGGGCAAGCGUUGUCCGGAUUUAUUGGGCGUAAAGAGCGUAUAGGCGGCCAUGUAGGUCCGUUGUGAAAACUCGAGGCUCAACCUCGAGACGCCGAUGGAAACCAUGUGGCUAGAGUCCGGAAGAGGAGAGUGGAAUUCCUGGUGUAGCGGUGAAAUGCGCAGAUAUCAGGAAGAACACCCGUGGCGAAGGCGGCUCUCUGGGACGGUACUGACGCUGAGACGCGAAAGCGUGGGGAGCGAACAGG
rnacentral:rRNA from 1 species